GAGUUUGAUCGUGGCUCAGGACGAACGCUGGCGGCGUGCUUAACACAUGCAAGUCGAACGAGAAUCUACUGAAAGAGUUUUCGGACAAUGGAAGUAGAGGAAAGUGGCGGACGGGUGAGUAACGCGUGAGGAACCUGCCUUGAAGAGGGGACAACAGUUGGAAACGACUGCUAAUACCGCAUGAUGCAUAAGGGUCGCAUGAUUCUUAUGCCAAAGAUUUAUCGCUUCAAGAUGGCCUCGCGUCUGAUUAGCUAGUUGGCGGGGUAACGGCCCACCAAGGCGACGAUCAGUAGCCGGACUGAGAGGUUGAACGGCCACAUUGGGACUGAGAUACGGCCCAGACUCCUACGGGAGGCAGCAGUGGGGAAUAUUGGGCAAUGGGCGCAAGCCUGACCCAGCAACGCCGCGUGAAGGAAGAAGGCUUUCGGUAUGUAAACUUCUAUCAGCAGGGAAGAAAAUGACGGUACCUGACUAAGAAGCCCGGCUAACUACGUGCCAGCAG
rnacentral:rRNA from 1 species